rnacentral:rRNA from 1 species
UAAGCGGAGGAAAAGAAACCAACAGGGAUUGCCCUAGUAACGGCGAGUGAAGCGGCAACAGCUCAAAUUUGAAAGCUAGCCUUCGGGUUCGCAUUGUAAUUUGUAGAGGAUGAUUUGGGGAAGCCGCCUGUCUAAGUUCCUUGGAACAGGACGUCAUAGAGGGUGAGAAUCCCGUAUGUGACAGGAAAUGGCACCCUAUGUAAAUCUCCUUCGACGAGUCGAGUUGUUUGGGAAUGCAGCUCUAAAUGGGAGGUAAAUUUCUUCUAAAGCUAAAUAUUGGCGAGAGACCGAUAGCGCACAAGUAGAGUGAUCGAAAGAUGAAAAGCACUUUGGAAAGAGAGUUAAAAAGCACGUGAAAUUGUUGAAAGGGAAGCGCUUGCAAUCAGACUUGUUUAAACUGUUCGGCCGGUCUUCUGACCGGUUUACUCAGUUUGGACAGGCCAGCAUCAGUUUCGGCGGCCGGAUAAAGGCUCUGGGAAUGUGGCCUCCACUUCGGUGGAGGUGUUAUAGCCCAGGGUGUAAUACGGCCAGCCGGGACUGAGGUCCGCGCUC